rnacentral:rRNA from 1 species
UGAGGAAUAUUGGUCAAUGGCCGCGAGGCUGAACCAGCCAAGUCGCGUGAGGGAAGACGGCCCUACGGGUUGUAAACCUCUUUUGUCGGGGAGCAACGGACGUCACGAGUGGCGUUAUGAGAGUACCCGAAGAAAAAGCAUCGGCUAACUCCGUGCCAGCAGCCGCGGUAAUACGGAGGAUGCGAGCGUUAUCCGGAUUUAUUGGGUUUAAAGGGUGCGCAGGCGGCCAGGCAAGUCAGCGGUCAAAAUGCGGGGCUCAACCCCGUCGAGCCGUUGAAACUUCCGGGCUAGAGUGCGCGAGAAGUAUGCGGAAUGCGUGGUGUAGCGGUGAAAUGCAUAGAUAUCACGCAGAACUCCGAUUGCGAAGGCAGCAUACCGGCGCGCAACUGACGCUCAUGCACGAAAGCGUGGGUAUCGAACAGG